AACGAACGCUGGCGGCAGGCCUAACACAUGCAAGUCGAACGCUCCGCAAGGGGAGUGGCGCACGGGUGAGUAACACGUGGGAACCUACCUUCUGGUACGGAACAACCAAGGGAAACUUUGGCUAAGACCGUAUACGACCUCCGGGUGAAAGAUUGAUCGCCGGAAGAGGGGCCCGCGUCCGAUUAGGUAGUUGGUGAGGUAACGGCUCACCAAGCCUUCGAUCGGUAGCUGGUCUGAGAGGAUGACCAGCCACACUGGGACUGAGACACGGCCCAGACUCCUACGGGAGGCAGCAGUGGGGAAUAUUGGACAAUGGGCGCAAGCCUGAUCCAGCCAUGCCGCGUGAGUGAUGGAGGCCUUCGGUU
rnacentral:rRNA from 1 species